rnacentral:sRNA from 1 species
ACACGAGAAGGGAGGUGGUUCGGCAGAUGUAUGAAAUCCGGACGCGUGAGGUGACUGCGGGCUAGUCGUCCGUCGUCGCGCUCAGCGCAUUCGCCGGACAGGCGCACGAGACAUGUGCGUGGCCGGCCAAUCCCAAGCAGUCACCCGACCCGCGGGUCGCCGGUACGUCCGACCGGCCCCCUUCCGCCUCAGGGCGUCAGGGGAGAGACCCGCGGGUCGUCUGCU